rnacentral:rRNA from 1 species
AAUGAACGCUGGCGGCAGGCCUAACACAUGCAAGUCGAACGCCCCGCAAGGGGAGUGGCGCACGGGUGUGUAACGCGUGGGAAUAUGCCCUUCGGUUCGGAAUAACACAGGGAAACUUGUGCUAAUACCGGAUACGAUCUACGGAUGAAAGAUUCAUCGCCGAAGGAGUAGCCCGCGUAGGAUUAGCUAGUUGGUGAGGUAAUGGCUCACCAAGGCGACGAUCCUUAGCUGGUCUGAGAGGAUGAUCAGCCACACUGGGACUGAGACACGGCCCAGACUCCUACGGGAGGCAGCAGCGGGGAAUAUUGGACAAUGGGCGAAAGCCUGAUCCAGCCAUGCCGCGUGAGUGAUGAAGGCCUUAGGGUUGUAAAGCUCUUUCGCCAGGGAAGAUAAUGACGGUACCUGGAAAAGAAGCCUCGGCUAACUCCGUGCCAGCAGCCGCCGUAAUAC